rnacentral:rRNA from 1 species
AGAGUUUGAUCAUGGCUCAGAUUGAACGCUGGCGGCAGGCCUAACACAUGCAAGUCGAGCGGUAACAGAAAGUAGCUUGCUACUUUGCUGACGAGCGGCGGACGGGUGAGUAAUGCCUGGGAAUAUGCCUUGAUGUGGGGGAUAACUAUUGGAAACGAUAGCUAAUACCGCAUAAUGUCUUCGGACCAAAGAGGGGGAUCUUCGGACCUCUCGCGUCAAGAUUAGCCCAGGUGAGAUUAGCUAGUUGGUGGGGUAAGAGCCCACCAAGGCGACGAUCUCUAGCUGGUCUGAGAGGAUGAUCAGCCACACUGGAACUGAGACACGGUCCAGACUCCUACGGGAGGCAGCAGUGGGGAAUAUUGCACAAUGGGCGAGAGCCUGAUGCAGCCAUGCCGCGUGUAUGAAGAAGGCCUUCGGGUUGUAAAGUACUUUCAGUCGUGAGGAAGGGUGUGUAGUUAAUAGCUGCAUAUCUUGACGUUAGCGACAGAAGAAGCACCGGCUAACUCCGUGCCAGCAGCCGCGGUAAUACGGAGGGUGCGAGCGUUAAUCGGAAUUACUGGGCGUAAAGCGCAUGCAGGUGGUUCAUUAAGUCAGAUGUGAAAGCCCGGGGCUCAACCUCGGAACCGCAUUUGAAACUGGUGAACUAGAGUGCUGUAGAGGGGGGUAGAAUUUCA